rnacentral:rRNA from 1 species
GAUGAACGCUGGCGGCGUGCCUAAUACAUGCAAGUCGAGCGAAUGGAUUAAGAGCUUGCUCUUAUGAAGUUAGCGGCGGACGGGUGAGUAACACGUGGGUAACCUGCCCAUAAGACUGGGAUAACUCCGGGAAACCGGGGCUAAUACCGGAUAACAUUUUGAACCGCAUGGUUCGAAAUUGAAAGGCGGCUUCGGCUGUCACUUAUGGAUGGACCCGCGUCGCAUUAGCUAGUUGGUGAGGUAACGGCUCACUAAGGCAAAGAUGCGGAGCCGACCUGGGAGGGUGAUCGGCCACACUGGGACUGAGAAACGGCCCAGACUCCUACGGGAGGCAGCAGUAGGGAAUCUUCCGCAAUGGACGAAAGUCUGACGGAGCACCGCCGCGUGAGUGACGAAGGCUUUCGGGUCGUAAAACUCUGUUGUUAGGGAAGAACAAGUGCUAGUUGAAUAAGCUGGCACCUUGACGGUACCUAACCAGAAAGCCACGGCUAACUACGUGCCAGCCGCCGCAGUAA